GUUCAGCCCCGAGGCGGCCGAGGCCAGCGCCGGGAAGAAGCGGAAGUCGAAGCAGCCCCAGUGCGAGGUGGAGCUGCACGAGGAGUUGAAGAAGAUCCUGCAGGAGCUGGAGCCGCUGGAGGCCAAAAUAAACCAGUCCGUCCGACGCAUGCGCAAGAGGCUUUGUCAAGAGUGGUUGAGCUUCGUUAGGAGACCGCCCGACUACCGGGACCCGGGCGAGGCGGCCUGGCGCGAGCCCAACUCGGAACCGGAGCCGACCCCACGGCGACGACCGCCGCCACCGCCGCCGCAGGAGCCCAGCCCGC